UCCGCGAGUCCUUUCCCCCGCGCGUCCGUGCAGUGGACGCGAGGCUCCAAUGCACAGUACAGAGCUGAUAGAUACCUGGAGAGAGAAUUCAGAUUCCUCCUCCCUCCAGCCUGAAGGUGGCAAUAGAGAGCGCCGCUGUGCAGGGAAUUAAGUCUGCCGUUCUGCCUCAGUCUCUCUCACAUGACCGGAGGGAGGAAGAAAAUGUUUCAUCCACAGUGUGUCUAUAUUCCCAAGGCGAUUUCCCAGCAUCACCUGCAGUGCCAGUGGGGGUGUUACCAUCACGUUGGAGGUUCCAUGUCUGGGUCCGGUUCCCCACGGGGCUUUUCGUCCCCUCAGCUCCCGGGCGGGAUGCAGGAUUAGUAAAUCUGCCACAGCGCCUGCCAUCUCCUCGGUGUGCCCGGAGAGCCAUGGAAGGUCAGUUCACUGGAGAGGUACAAAUCUGCCACCAAUCUCACUAAAGCUGCCCAUAAUGUGAUGGUCAAAAUUCCCCCUGCACAAGAAGGGAGAGCAGCAAAGAGCGGUCUUUAUCACAGGAAGUCUCUGGAUUACUGCACAGAUUUGGAAGAAAUACAGAAGAGCACCAAGAUUCAGGAAGAAUACACAUGAUGAAUGGAUUUAGACAAUAUUUGCUAAUCGCAAUAUUAAGCUUUAAUUUAAAUAUAAAGAAUCCCCAUGGGUUGCCUAUAGGGACAGCAAUUCUGAGGUUGCCUCCUUCUGCAGGGCGGCCCAAAAAUCCUGACUGUCUCUCCGAUCCAAUGGCGUCAAUGCUUACCUUAUGCUGACUUUGCUUGCUGCACGUUUGCUCCAGGGUUGUGACUUGGAAAGUAAUAAAACCAGAGACAGCCAGGAAACUAGCAUUUUCAAAUAAGGCUUAUAGUAAAUUAAGUCUUUACUUUCAGACGGCUGUGACAUUUAUUUAUUUUAAGUCAUUCUAACGUUGGAUUACAGUAAAACCCUGGAUUUCGAGUAUAAUGUGUUCCAGAAACAUGCUUGUAAUCCAAAACACUUGUAUAUCAAAGCGAAUUUCCCCAUAAGAAAUAAU